UCCUACGGGAGGCAGCAGUAGGGAAUCUUCGGCAAUGGACGAAAGUCUGACCGAGCAACGCCGCGUGAGUGAAGAAGGUUUUCGGAUCGUAAAACUCUGUUGUUAGAGAAGAACAAGGACGUUAGUAACUGAACGUCCCCUGACGGUAUCUAACCAGAAAGCCACGGCUAACUACGUGCCAGCAGCCGCGGUAAUACGUAGGUGGCAAGCGUUGUCCGGAUUUAUUGGGCGUAAAGCGAGCGCAGGCGGUUUCUUAAGUCUGAUGUGAAAGCCCCCGGCUCAACCGGGGAGGGUCAUUGGAAACUGGGAGACUUGAGUGCAGAAGAGGAGAGUGGAAUUCCAUKUGUAGCGGUGAAAUGCGUARAKGAUAUKGAGGAACACCAGUG
rnacentral:rRNA from 1 species